rnacentral:rRNA from 1 species
GACGAACGCUGGCGGCGUGCUUAACACAUGCAAGUCGAACGGAAAGGCCCUGCUUGCAGGGUGCUCGAGUGGCGAACGGGUGAGUAACACGUGGGUGAUCUGCCCCUUACUUUGUGAUAAGCCUGGGAAACUGGGUCUAAUACUGGAUAGGACCAUGCUGUAGGUGGUGUGGUGGAAAGAUUAGUUUCGGUAAGGGAUGAGCUCGCGGCCUAUCAGCUUGUUGGUGGGGUAAUGGCCUACCAAGGCGUCGACGGGUAGCCGGCCUGAGAGGGUGGACGGCCACAUUGGGACUGAGAUACGGCCCAGACUCCUACGGGAGGCAGCAGUGGGGAAUAUUGCACAAUGGGCGCAAGCCUGAUGCAGCGACGCCGCGUGGGGGAUGACGGCCUUCGGGUUGUAAACUCCUUUCAGCCAUGACGAAGCCCUUGUGGUGACGGUAGUGGUAGAAGAAGCACCGGCUAACUACGUG